rnacentral:lncRNA from 12 species
CCAGCUUCCAGCGGAUGUCCUGGUUCCUAAAAGUGUUCAGAGUACUGCCACUACUUCCUGCAGAUGUGCAAACCAGCAGGUGGAGAGGGAAAGAGCAGGAAGGAAGUUGAGUAAAGGUGGGAGGGUAGUAGGAAGUACCCCCUCUCAGGCUCCUCCUUUCCUAGGCAGCGACUGUCUGUUCAAAACCACAGCAAGGCUGCCCAAAGCGAUGUCUUCAACAGGAGGUGAGGAGCUCAAAGCAUAAAGAGAGGAAGUCACUUGUUUCAGCUCUCAGGGUCCAGGAGCCUGUCUGACUCCAGAGGGGACUCAUGCCUGGGCUUCCUGUCUCCAGGGAAUCUGGACAGAGCGGUGGAAAUUUCAGGUGGCUUUUGGUUUCCAAGGACUCACGCCCUACUGCAUGGAAGAGCUCUGAUAUGGAAGGAGUUGGGUCCCUGCAUCACUGCAGGAGGAAAUCUGCCCAUCUAUCAGAAACCCUUCAUUGGAUUGUUAAAUGAGUAUAAAUUAACUCCUAUUGUAUUAAGCCAUUGAUGUUUUAUAAUUCACUUAAAGCUACUAAUAAUUUAACAUUCUUCUCAUUCAACAGGGAAUAUUUCAGAAAAUUUUUAGAAUUCCCUGUGUCUCUACCUUAGACAGAGCGAACAUCCAUUUCUGCUGAACUCUACAACCAAAAGAGUGGCAAAUGAUUGUGCAUAGAUUAUUCAGCCUCCCGAGGGUUAAUUACUCUGAUACUUGUGCCUGGGGAAAACACACAAAAAUCAGGAAAGAAGUUGCUUCCAUUCUCUCCCUUCAAAACUGUGCAUUGCAAAGAAUAAUAAAGACCAUUUCGAAAAUUUGCUCA